rnacentral:rRNA from 1 species
AUGGUACUAACUAUACCGAGUUCUCUUCCUCCUAGAGUCUGUCCCAUCACUUGUAAGUGGGUCUACAAGGUUAAGACUCGCUCCGAUGGUUCUCUUGAGCGUCACAAAGCUCGUCUUGUGGCUCGUGGUUUUCAGCAGGAGCAUGGUCGUGAUUAUGACGAGACUUUUGCUCCUGUGGCCCAUAUGACCACUAUUCGUACACUUCUUGUCGUUGCCUCUGCAUGCCACUGGUCUAUAUCUCAACUUGAUGUGAAGAAUGCCUUUCUUAAUGGUGAGCUGCGUGAGGAGGUGUACAUGCAGCCACCACCUGGGUAUUCUGUCCCUGAUGGCAUGGUAUGUCGUCUUCGUCGCUCUCUCUAUGGUCUUAAGCAAGCCCCCCGCGCCUGGUUUGAGCGUUUUGCCUCUGUGGUCACUGCCGCUGGUUUUUCAGCAAGUGAUCAUGAUCCAGCAUUGUUUAUUUACCUUUCUCCUCGUGGUCGGACUCUUCUUCUUCUCUAUGUUGAUGACAUGAUCAUCACUGGGGAUGACUCCGAGUAUAUUGCCUUUGUAAAGGCCCGUCUUAGUGAGCAGUUUCUUAUGUCUGAUCUUGGACCUCUUCGCUACUUUCUUGGGAUUGAAGUCUCUUCUACCUCUGAUGGCUUUUUUAUAUCCCAGGAAAAGUAUAUCCAGGAUCUUCUUGCUCGUGCUGCUCUUACUGACGAGCGCAUUGUUGAGACUUCUAUGGAGCUCAAUGUUCACCUUCGUGCUACUGAUGGUGAUCCUCUCCCUGACCCGACGCGUUAUCGUCAUCUUGUUGGCAGUCUUGUCUAUCUAGCUGUCACUCGUCCGGACAUCUCUUAUCCGGUUCAUAAUCUGAGUCAGUUUGUCUCUGCUCCCACAUCGGUUCACUAUAGUCAUCUCCUUCGUGUUCUCCGAUAUCUUCGGGGCACGAUCUCUCACCGUCUAUUCUUUCCUCGCUCCAGUUCUUUACAGCUUCAGGCCUAUUCGGAUGCUACGUGGGCUAGUGAUCCUUCAGAUCGCCGUUCACUUUCUGCUUACUGUGUUUUUCUUGGUGGUUCUCUCAUUGCCUGGAAGACGAAGAAACAGAUUGCAGUUUCCCGUUCGAGUGCUGAGGCUGAGUUGCGAGCAAUGGCUCUUUUGACGGCAGAGGUGACUUGGUUACGGUGGUUACUUCAGGAUUUUGGUGUUUCUGUCACUACACGACUCUGCUCUUAUCUAACAGUACAGGUGCUAUUAGUAUUGCGCGCGAUCCUGUGA